GACGAACGCUGGCGACAGGCUUAACACAUGCAAGUCGAGGGGCAGCAUGAACUUAGCUUGCUAAGUUUGAUGGCGACCGGCGCACGGGUGAGUAACGCGUAUGCAACUUACCUAUCAGAGGAGAAUAGCUCAUCGAAAGAUGAAUUAAUGCUCCAUAAAACAGGGGUCCCGCAUGGGAAUAUUUGUUAAAGAUUCAUCGCUGAUAGAUAGGCAUGCGUUCCAUUAGGCAGUUGGCGGGGUAACGGCCCACCAAACCGACGAUGGAUAGGGGUUCUGAGAGGAAGGUCCCCCACAUUGGAACUGAGACACGGUCCAA
rnacentral:rRNA from 1 species